rnacentral:tRNA from 1 species
GGUAGUGUGGCAGUGGUCUAAGGCGCUGGAUUAAGGCUCCCAGUCUCUCAGGAGGCGUGGGUUCAAAUCCACCACUGCCA